rnacentral:tRNA from 1 species
GACGGCGUAGUUUAGGGGCUUAAGAACGAUUACUCUGCGAGUAAUAGGCGAAGGUUUAUUUCCGCCGUUG